AACGAACGCUGGCGGCAGGCCUAACACAUGCAAGUCGAACGCCCAGUAAUGGGAGUGGCGCACGGGUGCGUAACGCGUGGGAAUAUACCCUUCACUACGGAACAACAUCGGGAAACUGAUGCUAAUACCGUAUAAUGACUCCGGUCCAAAGAUUUAUCGGUGAAGGAUUAGCCCGCGUUAGAUUAGCUAGUUGGUGAGGUAAUGGCUCACCAAGGCGACGAUCUAUAGCUGGUCUGAGAGGAUGAUCAGCCACACUGGAACUGAGACACGGUCCAGACACCUACGGGGGGCAGCAGUGAGGAGUAUUGGACAAUGGGCGCAAGCCUGAUCCAGCCAUGCCGCGUGAGUGAUGAAGGCCUUCGGGUUGUAAAGCUCUUUUAACGGUGAAGAUAAUGACGGUAGCCGUAGAGAAAGCCCCGGCUAAAUUCGUGCCAGCCGCCGCCGUAACAC
rnacentral:rRNA from 1 species